CAGCUGGGAGUGCCCCAGUUAGAAUGCCUUCAGCAGCAAAUACUGACUGAACACCACUCAGUAUGUCUUCAACAAGGCAUUCAUUCUCUCACACAAAAGGGAGUUCAGGGGGUACCGCUCCAGGCGUGGAGCCAUCAGCAGCUCAGCAAUGUCGUUGGGAGUCAUGUUCCUGUGUCCCUGCACUACCUACCCUCCAUGGGCCAGCCUCACUCCUAGGCCAGAUACCCUCAUGGCCAUGAGAAGGCUGCAGCUCCAGGCCUCAAAAGUGAACAACAUUCCCAGAGGAAAAAUAAAGACCAUCCUUCUUCCCUCUUAGGCAUGUAUGGAGCCCACUCAUACCAACAAUGCCUCUAAUGUCUCAUUGGCGGGACCUAAGUCACUCACAUGCUCAUACCUCACCCAAUCCCAGGCAAGGGAGCGGACCCACGAGGCCAGAGCCCAGGGCCAACAGUGAAGCAGGAGGCAGGCAACUGGAGGGGCUGAGAACUGAGCAAACUUGGACUCAGUCAGGAAGACAGUGAGCGCAGUGGAAAAUGCCGGUCUGACAACCUCUGGCUGUCCCCAGGCCACCUGACAACACCAGCCCCAGAGGCAAACAGCCUUUCCCAUGAAAGGAGGACACCUGGAAAGAACGUGAACCAGACCCUGACAGACGGACAGGCUUCUGACCUGCAGAGAGGACUCCAGAGCCAAGCAGCACGCAUGCAGCUCCGCAAAUUAGAAAACAUCUAGAAAGGAGGAGGAGGUCAGCACAACUGCAGAACUACAAGAAGUCCAAGAGAUGGGGCCUGGAAGAGGCAAAAAAUCAGACAGAAUGGAGCCACUGUGACCCUGAAGGAAUCGUGAAAUCCUACUGGAAGGAAUUUCAUUAUAGUGGUUUCUGGGUCUGUUACUGCAUCAUAUGGAUCCUGCUUUACUCGUGGGGAGACACAUAUCCUAUUAGAAGAGAAAUCCUGCUUCCCAGAUUUGUUCUUAUUCUUGAGUCAGUUGACUUUAAUGCUGAGCAUCUAUGCUGUAAUUGUUCCUGGGGACCUGAACAGUGCAGCUGAGGCACAGUGGACCUGGAGCAGGAAGACUUGGUAUACAGGGCCUGCCCUAGGGCUUGGACAGGUCACCUGCCACAAUGGAGACCAUCAGCAGCAAGCUUAGAUCAGGACUUUGGUUCAUGGUCAGUUCUGUCUCACAGAUGGUAAAUGACUGUGCAAGUUAAUGUCAGCAACCCAACCCCACUGCUCUGAACUGGACUGUAUCCCCCCAAUUCAUAUGUUGAAGCCUUAACCCCCAGUGUGACUAUAAUUGGAGUUUGGGCCUAUGGGGGGGUCCUUAUGGUUAAAUGAGGUCAUAAGCAUGGAGCCUCAUCCAAUAAAACUGAUGUCUUUCUAAGAAGAGGAAGAUAAAUUAGAGAUCUCUCUCUCCAUACAUGCACAGAGAAGAGGGCAUGUGAAGACACAAUGAGAAGGCAGCCACUUACAAGCCCAGAAGAGAGGCAGGCCUCACUGAUAAUCAACUUUAAUGGUACCUUGCUCUUGGACUUCUAGCCUCCUGAACAGUGAGAAGAUAAAUCUGUUGUUUGAACCACCCAGUCUCUGGUAUUUUGUGAUGGCAGCUCUAGAUGAUUAAUAAACUUGCCAAGCCUGCUUUCCUACCAGGUGGGGACUAAUGAUAAUACAUGCUCAUAGCCACUGUCUGCUCGUGUGUUCUAAGAAAGGCCAUGUAAAAAGCUGAGGGUAGUGCCUCAUGCACAGAAAGAGCCUGAUGAUUUUCAGUUAUGUUAUUAAUACUGAAAUGUAGUUUCUUCCCCAGUAUCCUGGACAUGACAGUCCUACUUCCUGCACAGUAGUUAUGCGGAUGCAAUGAGACCUGUGUUUCUUAAGUCUUCCUUACCUGACAACAGUCCAACAGGACAGAGUGUACACACCCACCUGGGGACAGGGGCAUGACAAGAAAGGUCUACUGGAAUGAUUUUUGAAGUCUCAUGUUUUAUCUUAAAAACACAUAUGCAUCUUGCACUCUAAUUCAUAUAUAGUCAUGUUUGCUUUAAUUCAUAAGAUGUUUGCUGUAAUUUAUCAGGUAGACAACUUAUGACCUAGAUAGAUAACUUGGUCUUGUGCACCUCAGCCACAUGACCACUUCAUUCAAAUUUUGAGAAGGCCUUUGCAAGUCACAAAGAACUGUCCUGAUGUGAGGAUUUAGUAGAUUCUUUUUUAAAAAGCAUUGCAAUUAAUUAAUUUGGGGUGUACCAUAAAGUGUGUUUCAUAUUACUAAUUAACUAACUGAACCAACUGCUGUUAGUGAGCUUCUACUAUGUGCCAGCAGAGCAACCACACAGAUCCACUCCCAGCCUUCCAGAAGCUUACAGUCAGGCAGACAGGUGGACAACAAACACACAGCCCAAUAACUAACUGUUAAGAGUUAUGGCACAUCACGACAAGAGUUGUGAAGGAAGUAUGCUAGAAAAGCCUGCAGCACCAGGGGAGAUGGUAAGAGCCCUAGAACAUUCUGAGUACCAACAGAUUCCUGGGAAGUCCAGAUUCCUAAGAAUACUCUGGAGGCAGCCUCCUGAAGUGAGGCAUCAGUUAUUACACUUUUAAAGCUCAGUUAUUGUCACCCUUGGUUUGUCUAAGGAGGAUAUUGUUUCCACAAGUCUGGGAAGGCUAGGUAUGGAUUUUUAUACUGGGGACCAGACAGGGUGAUAUUUGACAACUUUCAUGGAGGUGAUGGACUUGGGGGCAGUGCUCUUUGCCUUAGAUGUAUGAUGUGGGAGGUGGGAACAUAGGCCUAAGGGGCAUUAGAGGUGCCUCCUUUCUCUUCCUGUUUUUCUUCCCUAGUGAGCAUAUAUGCAAUUUGCAAACUUGACCAGGCUUCAGUUAACAGGUGAGAACUGCUUUACAGAUCACAGUCUUGGUGCCCCAAGAGCCAACCAGAAGCCCUGUCCAUUUCCUGCCUGCCCUUCCAGGCCCUGAGAGGAGGAGGUGUCUGCAAUAUUUUGUUGGGAUGGGGUGGGUGGAGACGUUGCCUCCAUCAUAUUGGACUGGAAGCCAGGGGUUCCCUACAGAACUCCUGCUCCUGCCACCUGGCUUUGCCUGUACUAGGAGUACAGGGGAGCUUAUGCCAAAACCUGCUCAUGAGCUCAUCCCUGCCACCAGCCCUCCU